rnacentral:rRNA from 1 species
CCUACGGGCGGCAGCAGUAGGGAAUCUUCGGCAAUGGACGAAAGUCUGAUCGAGCAACGCCGCGUGUGUGAUGAAGGCUUUCGGGUCGUAAAGCACUGUUGUAUGCGAAGAACAGCUAGAAUAGGAAAUGAUUUUAGUUUGACGGUACCAUACCAGAAAGGCACGGCUAAAUACGUGCCAGCAGCCGCGGUAAUAGGUAUGUCCCGAGCGUGAUCCGGAUUGAUUGGACGUAAAGGGAGCGCAGACGGUUUAUUAAGUCUUAUGUGAAAGCCCGGAGCUCAACGCCGGACUGGCAGUGGAAACUGGUUAACUUGAGUGCAGUAGAGGUAAGUGGAACUCCCUGUGUAGCGGUGGAAUGCGUAGAUAUGUGGAGGAACGCCAGUGGCGAAGGCGGCUUACUGGACUGCAACUGACGUUGAGGCUCGAAAGUGUGGGUAGCAAACAGGAUUAGAUACCCCGGUAGUC